rnacentral:rRNA from 1 species
GAAUGCUGACAUAAGUAACGAUAAAGCGGGUGAAAAGCCCGCUCGCCGGAAGACCAAGGGUUCCUGUCCAACGUUAAUCGGGGCAGGGUGAGUCGACCCCUAAGGCGAGGCCGAAAGGCGUAGUCGAUGGGAAACAGGUUAAUAUUCCUGUACUUGGUGUUACUGCGAAGGGGGGACGGAGAAGGCUAUGUUGGCCGGGCGACGGUUGUCCCGGUUUAAGCGUGUAGGCUGGUUUUCCAGGCAAAUCCGGAAAAUCAAGGCUGAGGCGUGAUGACGAG